GAGUUUGAUCCUGGCUCAGAGUGAACGCUGGCGGCGUGCCUAACACAUGCAAGUCGAACGAGAACGGGAUUAAGUUUACUUAAUUUGUCAGCUAAGUGGCGCACGGGUGAGUAAUGUAUAGUUAACCUGCCCUCAAGAAAGGAAUAACAGUUGGAAACGACUGCUAAUGCCCUAUAUGCCCUUAAUACAUAAGUAUGCAGGGGAAACGCUUUUGUGCUUGAGGAUGGGACUGUAUGGUAUCAGUUAGUUGGUGAGGUAAUGGCUCACCAAGACUAUGACGCCUAACUGGUUUGAGAGGAUGAUCAGUCACACUGGAACUGAGACACGGUCCAGACUCCUACGGGAGGCAGCAGUGGGGAAUAUUGCACAAUGGGGGGAACCCUGAUGCAGCCAUGCCGCGUGUGUGAAGAAGGCCUUCGGGUUGUAAAGCACUUUCAGUUGUGAGGAAAGGUUAGUAGUUAAUACCUGCUAGCUGUGACGUUAGCAACAGAAGAAGCACCGGCUAACUCCGUGCCAGCAGCCGCGGUAAUACGGAGGGUGCGAGCGUUAAUCGGAAUUACUGGGCGUAAAGCGCACGC
rnacentral:rRNA from 1 species